rnacentral:rRNA from 1 species
UACGGAAGGCAGCAGUGGGGAAUAUUGCACAAUGGGCGCAAGCCUGAUGCAGCCAUGCCGCGUGUAUGAAGAAGGCCUUCGGGUUGUAAAGUACUUUUCAGUCGUGAGGAAGGUGUUAAGGUUAAUAACCUUAGCAAUUGACGUUAGCGACAGAAGAAGCACCGGCUAACUCCGUGCCAGCAGCCGCGGUAAUACGGAGGGUGCGAGCGUUAAUCGGAAUUACUGGGCGUAAAGGGCACGCAGGCGGUUAAUUAAGUUGGAUGUGAAAUCCCCGGGCUUAACCUGGGAAUGGCAUUCAAGACUGGUUAGCUAGAGUCUUGUAGAGGGGGUAGAAUUCCAUGUGUAGCGGUGAAAUGCGUAGAGAUGUGGAGGAAUACCGGUGGCGAAGGCGGCCCCUGGACAAAGGCUGACGCUCAUGUGCGAAAGCGUGGGGAGCAAAC